rnacentral:rRNA from 1 species
AUGAAGUUAUCCCUACAAAAUCAUAUAGUCUGGCUAUGCUCCAUCUUCAUCACACAAAGUAUUUCAUCAAGCACAACCCCGAUGGCAAGCCAAGCAAUUGUUUCAUACUUUUAG